rnacentral:rRNA from 1 species
AGCAGGUCGCAGUGACAAGGGGGUCCCGACUGUUUAAUAAAAACACAGGAGACUGCUAGUCCGCAAGGAUGUGUAUAGUCUUUGAAACUUGGUCAGUGGCGGUACCUAAAACUCAAGUUCAAUUGAGCUAAGGGCCGCUUAACACCGGGAGUAACUCUGACUCUCUUAAGGUAGCCAAAUGCCUUGUCGGGUAAGUUCCGACGUGCAUGAAUAGUUCAACGAGGGCCCUACUGUCCCCGUCUGCAACUCCGUGAACCCACAUUAGGUGGACGAACAGUCCAUCGACUUCCAUCGGGAAGAGAAGUCCCUGUGGAGCUUUACUGCAGCUUGUUGUUGUGAUGCGGUUCUAAUUUCAGAGAGUAACCGGGAGCCGUUAUGCACAUACUUUUGGGUAUGUGAUAGGCAAAAGUGUAACACCGGUAUCUUAGAGUUACGUCACUAACCUCAUUUUGAGGGACAUCGGCAGGUGGGCAGUUCGGCUGGGGCGGCACCCCUUUGAAAAGAUAUCGAAGGGGCUCUAAGGUUGGCUCAGGUGGGUCAGAAAUCCACUUUUGAGGGCAAGGCCAAAAGCCAGCCUGACAGGAUUCUGAACAACAAAGAAUUCUGCUGCGAAAGCAUGACCUAGCGAUCCUUCAAGUCCCCACUGUUGGGGGCUGGAGGUGACAGAAAAGUUACCCCAGGGGUAACAGGCUCGUCGCGGGUGAGAGCUCCAAUCGACCCCGCGGUUUGGUACCUCGAUGUCGGCUCUUCCCAUCCUGGUUCUGCAGCAGGAGCCAAGGGUGGGGCUGCUCGCCCAUUAAAGGGGAACGUGAGCUGGGUUUAGACCGUCGUGAGACAGGUCGGUCUCUAUCUGAUGGAAGCGGUGGUUGUCUGAGGGGAAGUUGAUCUUAGUACGAGAGGAACAGAUCAACGCGGCCUCUGGUCUACCGGUUGUUCGACAGAGCAAUGCCGGGCAGCUAAGCUGUUGUGGAUAAGAGCUGAAUGCAUCUAAGCUCGAAGCCACUCCCGAGAAAAGACAGCCUGUUGUUUAUGAUUUCCUUCGGGAAAUUGUUGCAACGAAGAAUCGUUAUAGAAGAUAACGUUGAUGGUUUGGUAGUGUAAGCUAGAAGCCUUCGGGCGACUAGUUAAGCUAGCCUUUUCCAAUCAUUCAAAGCGUUUUCA